CGCUGGCGGCGUGCUUAACACAUGCAAGUCGAACGAGGUGAUUGAAAGCUUGCUUUGAGAACCGAGUGGCAAACGGGUGAGUAACGCGUAGACAACCUGCCGCGAAGAUGGGGACAACAGUCCGAAAGGACUGCUAAUACCGAAUGUUGUCAAGUUUCCGCAUGGGAGCUUGAUUAAAGAUGGCCUCUACUUGUAAGCUAUCGCUUUGCGAUGGGUCUGCGUCUGAUUAGCUGGUUGGUGGGGUAACGGCCUACCAAGGCGACGAUCAGUAGCCGGUCUGAGAGGAUGAACGGCCACAUUGGAACUGAGACACGGUCCAGACUCCUACGGGAGGCAGCAGUGGGGAAUCUUCCGCAAUGGGCGAAAGCCUGACGGAGCAACGCCGCGUGAGUGAAGAAGGGUUUCGGCUCGUAAAGCUCUGUUGACGGGGACGAAUGUGCGAAAUGCGAAUAGUUUUUCGCAAUGACGGUACCCGUCGAGGAAGCCACGGCUAACUACGUGCCAGCCGCCGC
rnacentral:rRNA from 1 species